rnacentral:lncRNA from 1 species
UGGGAAGAUGCUGUGCCUCGAGGAUUAGUUUAAACAGGGGCUAUAAAAGAUGUAACAGAUGCAAACUGUAACACAAGGGCCAUUAACCCUUUCUCUGCCGAGCACACUCAGUCCCCACGCCCCGCACCUAUUGUCUCCUGUGCUAGAAGCUUUGCAGAAAACCUGGAAAGUGAGUAUCAGUUUCCAGACAUUCGCUGAGAGGGGAGGGGGGCAGAGAGAAGGGGAAGUGGAUGAUUUAGAAAGCACCUUGAAUUCAACCUAGGCAUAGGGAGUGACUUUUAUGUUUGACACGUUUUGUCAUUUCUUGGCGUUCUAUUGAUUUGAAAUGGUUGGGGAAAAUCCUGAAAUAAGGGAACGGUCACACAAGUGUCUGGGAUGAAACAGCUGGCCUGUCUGUAUUCAUGCUGAGACUUACACACGAUUGCAUAUAAAUACAUGUUUAAUAAAGUAAGCUGCUAGUUUUAUGAGCGUGUGUGUAUGUGAGAGAGAGAGAGAGAGAGAGAGAGAGAGAGAGGGCAUUUGUGCUGUAAACUUUAUCUUUGCCUGUUAUUUCUAACUCUGGAGUUAGUAAUCUUGCCUUCAUCAUUAUAGGGGGAGCAUGUAAAAUACAUAAGUAGGUGGGAGAUAAACACAUUCAUGUUAGCCGGGCUCAUCACUGUUCCUGGGAACUUCUGUUAUCUCUCUCGACUUUUCAGUGCCAAAGUAUGGAAUGGGAUAUGUGUGUGCAUGUGUCUCCUGCUAAAUCCAUGUCUAUAUUACUUUGCCAUUUAAAAUACAAUUUCAAAAGUUAUCCUUAAUUUUAAAACUCUGAUAUCCUGACAGCAGCUUUCUUCCCAGCUGUAGUGACCCCCCCCCCAACACACACACACUUUGGUAAACGACUCGAGUUCCAUGAGGACUUUCACUUCUUUAUUUAUCAUCACAGAAGUGAGGUGUUACUUCACAUACAUACACACACAAAGAAUAAAAUAAAGAAAUGAAACUCGCUAAGCAGACAAAAACAGGCAACUUUCUGCUUAGAAAACAGCCUUCUCGGGUGGGAGAGGAUGCACUGCCAUAUCUAAGAGAAAGACUUGCCCCUGAAUUUGGUAGGUUUGUAUCGAUCAAGUUUUGUAAUUAUUCACAGGUAUUUGCCAAGUUUUAAUUGCUGAAUACAAUGAAUUGGCACUAGAUGCAAAAAUAGAGCAGAAUCUCUCCCCUUGAAGAGUUUUCAUUCCACCAUAUAGUUCUCAAUAAAACUUUUCCUAGGCUGGGUAGCAAAAGGCACCUUUGGUUACCUGAAUGGACAGGUACAGGGCAAAUUAUUUGGGGGAGGAAAAAAGAAGAGAAAAGGAAAGAGAGAGUGCCGGAGAGCCAGAGAAAUCAAAGAAGUCACUCUUGGGAAAAGCUUGCCAUAAAGGAGCUAAACCCACCUGAAAUUCCUGCCCACAGACACUCCUUCUCACUUCAGACUCACAUCCCCACUUAAAAGGAGAAAAAUCAUAAAAGGAGGGUGGGGGAUGACCAUACCAAAAGGGAAUAAAAAGAGAGAAAAGGGGAAAAAAACCUACCUGCGAAGUCUUGUUUGUAGUUUUGGCCAGAAAUGGUGAGAAGAAAAAGCAUGAAGAAGCCGCGAAGUGUGGGGGAGAAAAAGGUGGAAGCGAAGAAACAGCUCCCGGAGCAAACUGUACAAAACCUCGCCAAGAGUGUCGGGAGG